UCUUGUGGACCCGACAGUGGACGGGAGAUGCCGAUUCAAAGCGGCAUAUGGAGUCCUUGCCUUACAAAGGGGUGGAGUUGUUUGGAGACGGCCUCUCGGAUCUUUUCUCUACGGCUACUGCUGAUCCAUAGAUCACCGUUGGACUUCGAAACGCGUUGGGCGUGGCCAACUGAGGACGUGUUUGCUGAUUGUGAGCAUUGAGUCCGUAAGCUGAGACGCUGAUCCAUUGGAGACUGUAGCCAGAACUGUGCAGGAUGAGCCGCAGGCUGUGAUCCGGAGACGGCAGCGAUUCCUCUUCACACUGGUGCUUUUAAACUAUGAUGGGAAAUUCAAUUGCUGCCGGAGGAUGCGAGUUACCAUUGCCGUGGCCCUUAAACGCCGGCGACAGCACCCCAUCUCACUCCUUUCACCAGCCAGCCAAAGCCAGAUACGCACAAAAGGGGGCAGCAAACACUUUUGUGCUAGAUCUGGCUGUCGUAUAGCAUGGCUAUUGUCACGCUCAUUCAGCCGGUUAAAGGGAUUCGUCAACAAUUGAUUUCCUAUGUCGGUUUCUAAGAAUUCUCGGGUGGAUCUUAGCCAUGGUUAAAGUAUUUAUGUUUUGAAAGAAAUUUGAAGCAUCUAAUCCUGGAAUUUGUUUUUGUUUGUUUUAUAAAGUUAUAUAGUUUUAUAUAAUUUCUCUUUGAUUCACUUGAAACCUCUGUUGCUGAGAGUGUUUCCUAAUUUUAGUCCUUAGGGACCCCCAACAGUGCAUGUUUUCUCGAUCUCCUUGUUAGUGCACAAAUGUAUUCAUUGCUCGCUGACACAGUUUAAAAGAUCCACAGGAGAACUACUUAUGAGGGCGAUUCAAUAAGUAAAGUAUUGAGGCUGCACAUCUUGAAUGUCUGUCCUGCCAUUAUCAAAGGCAGUGCAUCAAACCUAAACCUGUUUCUUCCGUGACAUGAUGUUAUCACUGUACACCUCUACAAGCUGGCUAUGAAUUUCAGCUGCUGUUGUGCCCUUUAGACGCAGAAACACCAUACCCUCCAACAUUUUACACAUAAAAAUUGGUAUGAAUUGGGGAAUGGGGUGUGGUCGCUGGUAAAGGGGGCGUGGCCAUGCACCCUUUCCUAUACUUUCAGACCAUAAAAAAAAGGUACUGUACCUGCCAAAAAGGUACAGUUGGAGGGUAUGAAACACUUUCCCCCAAGCUGUGUCCACAGUACAAAUCUCUUAAGGCAUUAUACAUUGUCACACAAGAAGCCCACUCACCUAUACUUCAGGGGACGUUAUAUGUACAUCAAUAUCCAGUUAACAUGCAGGUCUUGUAAGUGAUAUUGGUGCAUGUAUGUAUGUACAGUGUUAGGCAAGCCUGUGCUGGACAUAACUACAGACAGAGUAAAAUGACUAAUUUAGUCCGUUAUAUUUAAUUUAAGAAAACAGAUCAAUCAAUUAAUAAAAUAUACCUGCCAAAAAUCAUAUAAUAUAUUAAAUAUUUACAGAUAUAAAAAUGAACUUGUGAAAAUGAGCAUAUAUAACACUGACUUCCUAAUACCUAUCACACCAUGGGGGUAAUUCUGAGUUGAUCGCAGCCUCAAGUUUGUUAG